rnacentral:rRNA from 1 species
UACGUAGGGCGCAAGCGUUGUCCGGAAUUAUUGGGCGUAAAGAGCUCGUAGGCGGUUUGUCGCGUCUGCUGUGAAAACCCGAGGCUCAACCUCGGGCCUGCAGUGGGUACGGGCAGACUAGAGUGCGGUAGGGGAGAUUGGAAUUCCUGGUGUAGCGGUGGAAUGCGCAGAUAUCGGGAAGAACACCCGUGGCGAAGGCGGCUCUCUGGGACGGUACUGACGCUGAGACGCGAAAGCGUGGGGAGCGAACAGG